CAGCCGCCGCGGUAAUACGUAGGUGGCAAGCGUUGUCCGGAAUUAUUGGGCGUAAAGGGCUCGCAGGCGGUUUCUUAAGUCUGAUGUGAAAGCCCCCGGCUCAACCGGGGAGGGUCAUUGGAAACUGGGAAACUUGAGUGCAGAAGAGGAGAGUGGAAUUCCACGUGUAGCGGUGAAAUGCGUAGAGAUGUGGAGGAACACCAGUGGCGAAGGCGACUCUCUGGUCUGUAACUGACGCUGAGGAGCGAAAGCGUGGGGAGCGAACAGGAUAGAGACCCGUGUAGUCCCUGUCUCUUAUACA
rnacentral:rRNA from 1 species